GAUGAACGCUAGCUACAGGCUUAACACAUGCAAGUCGCGGGGCAGCAUGGGGGUUGCUUGCAAUCCCCGAUGGCGACCGGCGCACGGGUGAGUAACGCGUAGCCAACCUGCCCUUCACCACGGGAUAACCCGGCGAAAGUCGGACGAAUACCGUAUGUUGUCCAUUGACGGCAUCCGAUUUGGACGAAAGGUUUGGCGGGGAAGGGUGGGGAUGCGUCCGAUUAGCUGGACGGCGGGGUGACGGCCCACCGUGGCGACGAUCGGUAGGGGUGCUGAGAGGAAGGUCCCCCACACUGGAACUGAGACACGGUCCAGACUACUACGGGAGGCAGCAGUGAGGAAUAUUGGUCAAUGGGCGUAAGCCUGAACCAGCCAAGUAGCGUGCAGGAUGACGGCCCUAUGGGUUGUAAACUGCUUUUAUGCGGGGAUAAAGUGGCCCACGUGUGGGUUUUUGCAGGUACCGCAUGAAUAAGGACCGGCUAAUUCCGUG
rnacentral:rRNA from 1 species